CUACGGGGUGCUGCAGUGGGGAAUUUUGGACAAUGGGCGCAAGCCUGAUCCAGCCAUGCCGCGUGCGGGAAGAAGGCCUUCGGGUUGUAAACCGCUUUUGGCAGGAACGAAACGGCGACUCCUAAUACGGGUCGUUAAUGACGGUACCUGCAGAAUAAGCACCGGCUAACUACGUGCCAGCAGCCGCGGUAAUACGUAGGGUGCAAGCGUUAAUCGGAAUUACUGGGCGUAAAGCGUACGCAGGCGGCUUAGCAAGACAGGUGUGAAAUCCCCGGGCCUAACCUGGGAACUGCAUUUGUGACUGCAUGGCUAGAGUCUGUCAGAGGGGGGUGGAAUUCCACGUGUAGCAGUGAAAUGCGUAGAGAUGUGGAAGAACACCGAUGGCGAAGGCAGCCCCCUGGGAUGAGACUGACGCUCAUGUACGAAAGCGUGGGGAGCAAACAGGAUUAGAUACCCGAGUAGUC
rnacentral:rRNA from 1 species